rnacentral:rRNA from 1 species
UACGGAGGGUGCGAGCGUUGUCCGGAAUCACUGGGCGUAAAGGGCGCGUAGGCGGCCUGUUAAGUAGGGGGUGAAAUCCUGCGGCUUAACCGCAGGGCUGCCUUCUAAACUGUCAGGCUAGAGCACAGUAGAGGCAGGUGGAAUUCCCGGUGUAGCGGUGGAAUGCGUAGAGAUCGGGAAGAACACCAGUGGCGAAGGCGGCCUGCUAGGCUGUUGCUGACGCUGAGGCGCGACAGCGUGGGGAGCAAACAGG